UGCGUAACACGUAUGCGAACCUACCCGCUAUUGGGGGAUAACCCGGCGAAAGUCGGACUAAUACCCCAUAUUAUUCUUACCGGGCGAUCCGGUAGGUCUGAAAGAUUUAUCGAUUGCGGAUGGGCAUGCGGAUGAUUAGCUAGUAGGUGGGGUAACGGCUCACCUAGGCGACGAUCAUUAGGGGUUCUGAGAGGAAGGUCCCCCCACACUGGAACUGAGACACGGUCCAGACUCCUACGGGAGGCAGCAGUGAGGAAUAUUGGUCAAUGGGCGCUAGCCUGAACCAGCCAAGUCGCGUGAAGGAUGAACCAGAUCUAUGGUUUGUAAACUUCUUUUGCAGGGGAGUAAAGUGCGACACGUGUGUUGUAUUGCAAGUACCCUGCGAAUAAGCAUCGGCUAACUCCGUGCCAGCAGCUGC
rnacentral:rRNA from 1 species